rnacentral:rRNA from 1 species
UACGAAGGGGGCUAGCGUUGCUCGGAAUCACUGGGGGUAAAGGGUGCGUAGGCGGGUCUUUAAGUCAGGGGUGAAAUCCUGGAGCUCAACUCCAGAACUGCCUUUGAUACUGAAGAUCUUGAGUUCGGGAGAGGUGAGUGGAACUGCGAGUGUAGAGGUGAAAUUCGUAGAUAUUCGCAAGAACACCAGUGGCGAAGGCGGCUCACUGGCCCGAUACUGACGCUGAGGCACGAAAGCGUGGGGAGCAAACAGG